GACAGAGGUGCCGAGCGUUAGGCGGAAUCACUGGGCUUAAAGCGCGCGUAGGCGGCCCUGUAAGUCCGUUGUGAAAGUCAAAGGCUCAACCUUUGAAAGCCGAUGGAUACUGCAGGGCUAGAGUCCGGAAGAGGCGAGUGGAAUUCCUGGUGUAGCGGUGGAAUGCGCAGAUAUCAGGAGGAACACCAAUAGCGAAGGCAGCUCGCUGGGACGGUACUGACGCUAAGGCGCGAAAGCGUGGGGAGCGAACAGG
rnacentral:rRNA from 1 species